CAAGACAGAGGUGAAAUCCCCGGGCUCAACCUGGGAACUGCCUUUGUGACUGCAUGGCUAGAGUACGGUAGAGGGGGAUGGAAUUCCGCGUGUAGCAGUGAAAUGCGUAGAUAUGCGGAGGAACACCGAUGGCGAAGGCAAUCCCCUGGACCUGUACUGACGCUCAUGCACGAAAGCGUGGGGAGCAAACAGGAUUAGAU
rnacentral:rRNA from 1 species